GAUUUGAUGAGCGCUUAUAUAUUUGGUGGGAUUCAGCAUUAAAUCCUCAAUCCUCCUUUCCAGGGACGAAAAAGGUUGAAGUUUUCUAACAGUACAAAAAAAAUGCAGAUUCUUUUGGCAGCAUGGAUGGCCAUUUUUUGUAUCCACAACACCCUAGCGAAUGGCCUAGAAGAUCUCUGGAGCGGACAGCCACUACCAAAAGAUCUUGUAAAACCUUACUUACUGGAAGCUUCUUCCCUAGAUUCAUCAUCUGAGUAUGGCAGCCCAAAGUCAGCCCCAUUUGCAAUCUCGGGACUUAAAAAACGAGUUGCAGCAAUGGGGGUGGACUUACCAGACUACAUCCUCCACUACAGGGGAAAAUCUCCGGAUCUCGGCACUUUCCGGGAGAGGAUGCAGCUCAGCGGAAGGAGAUAAAUAAUGCUAUCGCAUCAAGUAAUGACCUGAAGAAUUAUGCUUGAAAUCGUCACUCAAGAAUAGAAACAAAAAUAUAAUGUAUGUUAUUUUUAAUGCCGAAAAUAAAGGACUUUGGUGAAA